AGGACCCAAUCUGAGUCCCUGGCCACCUGAAUCUGAGCCGUGUGUACUGCGUGCUCAGCACUGCCUGACAGUCCUAGCUAAACUUCACUAACUCCCCUGCCUUUGCUGCCACCAUGCCCAAAAUGAUCAAUGUGCGUGUGACCACCAUGGAUGCAGAGCUGGAGUUUGCCAUCCAUCCCAACACCACUGGCAAGAAGCUAUUUGACCAGGUGGUGAAAACUAUUGGCUUGAGGGAAGUUUGAUUUUUUGGUCUGCAGUAUCAGGACACGAAAGGUUUCUCCACCUGGCUGAAACUCAAUAAUGUGACUGCCCAGGAUAUGCGGAAGGAAAGCCCCCUGCUCUUUAAGUUCCAUGCCAAGUUCUACACUGAGGAUGUGUCCAAGGACUUGAUCCAGGACAUCACUCAGCCCCUGUUCUUUCUGCAAGUGAAAGAUGUCAUUCUCAAUGAUAUGUACUGCCCACCUGAGACUGCUGUGCUGCUGGCUUUAUAUGCUGUCCAGUCUAAGUAUGCUGACUUCAAUAAGGAGGUGCAUACAUCUGGCUACCUGGCUGGAGAAAAGUUGCUGCUGCAGAGAUUCUUGGAACAGCACAAACUCAACAGAGACCAGUGGGAGGAGCCGAUCCAUGUGUGGCAUGAGGAACACUGCGGCAUUCUCAGGGAGGUUGUUGUCCUGGAAUAUCUGAAGAUUGCUCAAGAUCUGGAGAUGUAUGAUGUGAACUAUUUCAGCAUCAAGAACAAGCAAGGCUCAGAGCUGUGGCUGGGGGUGGAUGCCUUGGAUCUCAACAUCUAUGAGCAGAAUGACAGGCUGACUCCCAAGAUAAGCUUCCCUUGGAGUGAAAUCAGGAACAUUUUUCAAUGAUAAGAAAUUUGUCAUCAAGCCCAUUGACAAAAAAGCCCUGGACUUCGUCUUCUAUGCUCCUGGCUGCAGAUUAACAAGCAAAUCUUGGCCUUGAGCAUGGGGAACCAUGAACUGUACAUGCACCAUUGCAAGCUGACACCACUGAGGUGCAGCAGAUGAAGGCACAGGCCCGGGAGGAGAAGCACCAGAAGCAGAUGGAGCGUGCUAUGCUGGAAAAAUGAGAAGAAGAAGUGUGAAAUAGCAGAAAAAGAGAAAGAGAAGAUUGAAUGGAAGAAGGAGGAGCUAAUGGAGAACCUGAAGCAGAUUGAGGAACAGACUAAGAAGGCUCAGCAAGAACUGGAAGAAUAGACCCAUAGGGCUCUGGAAGUUGAGCAGGAAUGGAAGUGUGCCCAGAGUGAGGCUGAAAAGCUGGCCAAGGAUCAUCAAGAAGCUGAAGAGGUCAAGCAGACCUUGCUGCAAGCCUCCCAGGAGCAGAAAAAGACUCAAGCACAGCCGGUCUUGGAAAUGGCAGAGCUGACAGCUCAAAUCUCCCAGCUGGAGAUGGCCCAACAGAAGAAGGAGAGUGAGGCUGUGGAGUGGUAGCAGAAGGCCUAUAUAGUACAGGAAGACUUGGAGAAGACCCAUGCUGAGCUAAAGAUGGCCACGAGUACACCUCAUGUGGCAGAGUCUGCUGAGAAUGAGCUGGAUGAGCAGGAUGAGAAUGGGGCAGAGGCUAGUGAUGACCUACGGGCUGAUGCUAUGGCCAAGGACUGCAGUGAGGAGGAAUGUAUCACUGAGGUGGAGAAGAAUGAGCAUGCAGAAGCACCUGAAGGCCCUCACUUCAGAGCUGGCCAAUGCCCGAGAUGAGUCCAAGAAGACUGCCAAGGACAUGAUCCAUGCUGAGAAUAUGCAACUGGGCUGAAACAAAUACAAGACCCUGUGCCAGAUCCGGCAGGGCAACACUAAGCAGCACAUUGAUGAAUUUGAGUCCAUGUAAUGGGCACCCAGCCUCUAGGGACUCCUCCUCCCUUUUUCCUUGCCCCUGCACUCUUACACCUAACUUACCUAACUCAUGAUGUGCUGGAGCCACUAACUAGAGCAGCCCCAAAGUCAUGCCAAGCGUUUAGUGUAGCCAUGGGACCAAACCUAGCCUCUCAGCCCCCACCCACUUCCCUGAGCAAAUGAAUGGCUCACUAUGUUGCCAAUGGAACCUCCUUUCUCUUCUCUGUUCCAUUUAAUCUAUCUUGCUAGAAUAUCCCACUUCCCCAGCCCAGAGGUACUUUCCAUUUGAUUUUGCAAACACCCUUACACUUACUGUUGCCCCAUGGAAGUCAAGUAUGGAGUAGGUUGGAAGCUUGCUCCCCUCCCCUCCCCUGCCACUGCCUUCUUCUUCAGUGUCUUGAGAUUUACAGGGUUGGAAUAUUACAGGGUUUAGGGAAUGAGACAGGACCUUGGCUACCUGCUCUAGGAUGUCAACUGACCUAGAAUUUGGCCUCCCAAUGUCUAUCCCUUUUAGAGUUAUUUGGAUAUUGUAAUGAUUGGAGGAUAAAGAGAUGUUUAGUCACUUUUGUUUCUAAGUCCCAGAUUGGGCCUGUUAAAUACUCAUCCUCAAUAAGUCUUGUCAUUGACUUUAGGGACUCAGUUUCUCCCCAGGGUGGAUGGGGGAAACAGUGCCUUCAAGAGGCUUCACCAAACGUACUAGAAGGGUAUUCACCAUUCUAUUCUGGCAAGGCUGAGUAGAAGAUCCUACCCCAAUUUCUUAAAGGAGUAUAACCCUGUCUAAAGUGAACUCUAUGGGCAGAGCUACCCCUUACUUAUUAUUUCAGAUCUGUGGUCACUUUGUGGGAUCUGUCCCUCCCAGCUUCAGUACCCAAAUCCUCUUCAGCUAGAACAGUAGGGAUGAGUACCCAAAAGCCCAGCCAGCCCCAUCAGGACUCUUGUGAAAAGAGAGGAUAUGUUCACACCUGGCUUCAGUAUUUUCCCUGCCAGGGGUUUUAGGUCACUUCCCCUCUCAGAGCUACUUGGGCCACAGCUCCUGCUCCAAAGCCAUUCUGGCCUUGGCAUCUAGAGCUUGAUGCCAGUAGGCUCAACUAGGGAGUAUGUGGAAGAAGCUGAGUAUAGUGAGAAGCCUGUGCCCCUGAUUCCAGUUUAUUCAGCUCUCUAAUGUGCCCCAAAUCCCCUUCUCAUCACUCCCCUCCAAAGUGGUGACUGGGCCCUGCCUCUGUUUGACAAACCUCUAACCCAGGUCUUGACACCAGAUGUUCUGCCUCUUGGAGGUGUAAACCAGAGAGCUGCUGGGGAUUCUGGCCUAGUCCCUUCCACACCCACACCCCUGCUCUCAACCCAGGAG